rnacentral:tRNA from 1 species
AGAUAUUGAAGUAAAAUUUUACAUAUAGUUUCGACCUAUAAAUCAGAAUAAUUAAGAUUAUUCCUUAUCUA